CAAUCGCUCAGUAGUCAGUGUAGAUUCUGUUUUUACAAUCAGCAGCUACAUCUGGCUACUGGGUCUCUG
rnacentral:pre_miRNA from 22 species